rnacentral:tRNA from 1 species
GGCUUGACGUUUUGGAAGCACUGGACCUUGAAUGUCCACUAAAGAUGUUCGACUCAUCUUCAAGCUC